AAAAAAAAAAAGAUAACAUUCCUUCUUGAUAAAGGGUUUCAUAAAGCUUAGAUCUGGAUUAUGUAAACUGCCAAUAAUUUAAUGUUAUUUAAAUUGUACAUUAAUGUUACUUAACGUACAGCCCUCUGUCUCAGGAAACUUACAUGACUGUACAUUGACUUCUAAGGGGCAGAGUUCUUAGAGCUGAGAUGCUCCUCCUGAGUUAUAAUCCUCAUAUACAGCUUGAAUAAACUUUUCCAUUUCUUUCUUAGAUUGACUAGUUUUUCAUCAACAUAUUCAACUCAGUCAUUUGUCAUUGGCCAAAGCUUAGACAAUACAUGAAUGAAGGAGUGAGUGUAUGCUUUAAUAAAAUGUUACUUAUAAAAUUAGCUGGAGGUCAGGAUUUGGCUUAUAGUCAUAAUUUGCUGAGGACCAAUCUCAAGGAAAUCACAGUGAACAGAAUAAAAGAAAUGAUCAAAGGAUAGGUAAAAGGACAGAUAAGUGAGGAAUAUGAGUAAAAAGUUAAUAAACUGAAAACUUAACUUAAUAGAGUCAGAAGACUGGAAGGGGUAGAUCUCAUGUCCUGUGAAGAUAGCAGAGUUGAACAGAAAAAAAAAGACUCCUUCUUUCUUCAAGGAUUCAGCCAAUGAAAAGCCAUGGAGGAGUUCCUGUCGUGGCACAGUGGUUAACGAACCCAACUAGGAACCAUGAGGUUGCCGGUUCGAUCCCUGGCCUUGCUCAGUGGGUUAACGAUCCAGCGUUGCGGUGAGCUGUGGUGUAGGUUGCAGACGCGGCUCGGAUCCCGAGUUGCUGUGGCUCUGGCGUAGGCUGACAGCUACAGCUCAGAGUCAACCCCUAGCCUGGGAACCUCCAUAUGCCACGAGAGUGGCCCAAGAAAAUGGCAAAAAGACAAAAAAAAAAGAAAGAAAGAAAGAAAAGCCAUGGACUCUGUUUACUAGAGCCCCCCAAACUUCCUUUUCCUCUCUAUAAAAGCAUCCUCCUUCCUUUACCAUGUGGAGACUUCCAUGUGUUUGCAGACCUUGAUUUGCUAUUCUUUGCUGAUCCCAAAUUAAUCCAUCUUUGUUGGAGAAAUAUGUGAAAAUGGAUUUGUUUUAGGUCAGUACAUCCAAUGAAAUUUGUGUACAGAGAUAACAAAGAACAAAAGAAAGGGAAAGCAAUACUAAAAUAAUAUAAUAGUAUAGAUAAAAAUUUUAUGAUCUCAUGGAAGAAUUAGAUAUAUUCAGAUUGGAAGAGGCAAUUUAAUGAUGAGCAAUAAAAAGGAUAAAAGAUUCAAUUCUAUACCUGCUUCUGGGGAAAUUUAUGACACUUAAAUCAAAAUAUUUAUCACUAUUAUAUCAGAAGAUACUCCAGGACAGAUUCCAAAGCUCCUUUUAUAUCCUUCCCACAUGAACUUUCUGAUAGGAAAUCACAGUAUUUUUACCACAUGGUAUAAUUACACUUGAAUUCCAAUUGUUAUAAUAAAAAUGUGCCACAUUUUUGUUUAAUAACAAUUUUGAGGCACUGGGGCCAUGGUAUUAUAGUCCCCAUUUUUCUACUCUGAAUGACUGUCCUAUUUUUCCUUUUGGUACCCUAGUAAGUUAAGGAAUCUGUUAUUUCAAUUUAACAUAAUUUAGAGGAAAAUGAGAAAUACGAAGUGUUAUAAAGCCAAAGAUAGAGUGUGUUUAAAGGACAAGGGAAUGACCCAUAGCAUAAGGGGAUGCAGGAAAAAUCAGUCAGAAAAAUGCUAAGAAAGUUUUUUGGAUUCAGGGAUAGCAAGAUCAUUGGUGUUAAUCAGUUUUAGUGAUGCUCCAGAAAUCAGAUUUCAGUGAGUUGAAAAAGGAAGUGAGUAAAAUUACUGAUUAUGAACAACUCUAAAAUUGUGAGGUUGUAAAUAAAAGUGAAAAGAUUUGUUCCUAACUGGAGGUGAUGAUAGACAUUAAAAAUAUAUUUUAAGACAGAACAAAAGAUAUUUAAAUGUAAAUAGGAAAGAACUAAUAGAGACAUGUAUUUAUUCAGAUCUUCCUGAUAAUAUAGAAAUAUUAAACAAAAGCAGCUGGAAGUUCCCUGGUGGCCUAGUGGAUUAAGGAUCUGGUGCUGUCACUGCUGUGGCUGGGGUUUGAUCCUUGGCCCAAGAACUUCCACAUGCCAUGGGCAUGGCCAAAGAAAAAAAGAAAAUUAAUUUGGAGUUCUCUUGUGGCUCAGAGGGGUAAGGAUUUGGUGUUGUCACUGCAGUGGCUUGGGUCACUGCUGUGGCAUGGAUUUGUUUUCUGGCCUGAGAUUGUCCACAUGCUGUGGGUGGGCCAAAAAAUAAAAGAAAGCAACUAGAAUACUUUAGAUUCUAUAAUUUCUUAAUGGAUAGAAAAAUAUGAAAAUGCUUCUUUAUGUUUCUUUCAGACACUAAAAUCUAAAAUAUAGCAUGACAACUCUGCUGAUUUUUUUUGUCUUGAGGUUUCUGUUUAUAACUUGCUUUCUACUUUCUGCUAAAGAGCAAUUAAAAUUUGGUUCCACUGAAACUGAGAUUCAAAGGAUUGAGAUAAGACAAAAAUGCUUUGGAAUUAUUUAGUAUAUUCAGUUGAUUUCUGGAAAUAUGAUUGAAAAGUGGCACAUGCAGUUCUUAACCAUCAGAAUUUAGAUUGAUCAUUUUAUCUGAAUAGUCUCAGUGGGUAAAAAUCACUGAAAUUGUAGAAUAUCUGAAAUAACUUCAAUCCAUCACAGUGCAAAAUAUCAUCAGUGUGCUGAAAGGAAUACAAAGUAAUGUUUACUUGCCUAUUUUUGGUUCAAAAGUUUUCACUCUAAAAACUAAUAAGUGGCUCAAGGCUUCCUAGUUGACAUUUUUCUUAAAAACUGCCUUUAUAAAAUUCUUCCUGUAUUCAAUAAUUUUGAAGUGCUAGAUUCAGUAUUGAUGAUUUUUGAGAAUGCUUUUAUUCUCUUAUUCUCCCCUUUUCCCCUCUUUCUCCCACUCCAUUCUUCCCUUCUUUCCUUCCUCUGUUCUCUGAUUCCCUCUUUUCUGUCCAUAAAUUAAAUGGGAGUAUACGUAUGUUUGAGAGCCCUUAUUUGCAAAUGCACCAAUCUGAGAUUUUAUGACUAACUUUGUUUUAUUUCAGUUUUAUUUUAAUUUAGGAGGGGCUACUCUUAACCCUGAAUGGAAAGUGACCCAUGCCCAGAUAGGUCUGAGGAGGUGCUGGAUUGGGCAUUGCCUGGGGACAGUUUGUGUAUAAGAGUUUCAGACUAAAGGAGAACAAGAAAAAUAUAUGUUUCAAUAUUCAAAGGAGAAUUUGAGGCCAAGGAAGAAGGAGGAGAAAAUACUGGCCAAUGUCAUUUAUUGGCUAACUAUCCUGGUUCUAUCAACUUCUGUAUAAGCUAAUUGAGACCAAGAUACAGGCAUGUCUUUUCCACCAUCUCUUGGAAGUGGGGAGGUACCAACUUCAAGUGACUUCUAUUGUAGGGACCCCAAAACUGGGUUAGACUUGGAGGUGCCUGGGUAACCUGCAUAGGCAAGUUAGAGGAAGAAAAAGUGAAAUGCAAUCCAUUAUAUCAAUAUCCUUCAGAUUUAUAUACAUGGCCUGGUGAGGUUUGAGUGACUUAGACUAUACUUACACAAUUUGUAAAAGAGUAUUUAGAAAUUGGGUUCCCAAGCAAUUUCUCAUGUAUCCAGGACUUGAUAUCAAGCCUAUUAGAAUGUAUUGGCUAUGCAUUGGGCGUCAAUAAUAUUUUUCUUUGAUAACUUUUAAAGGUAAUACUAGGGAGUUGCCGUCGUGGCUCAGUGGUUAAAAAACCGGAACAGUAACCUUGAGGAUGCUGGUUUGAUCCCUGGUCUUGCUCAGUGGCCUAAGGAUCCAGUGUUGCCAUGAGCUGUGGUAUAGGUUGCAGACAUGGCUUGGAUCCCGAGUCAUUGUGGCUGUGGCUGUGGCCGGCAGCUACAGCUCUGGCUCCCCCAGCCUGGGAACCUCCAUAUGCCGUGGGUGCGGCCCUAAAAAGGC
rnacentral:lncRNA from 1 species